rnacentral:rRNA from 1 species
AACGAACGCUGGCGGCAUGCCUAACACAUGCAAGUCGAACGAGAUCUUCGGGUCUAGUGGCGCACGGGUGCGUAACGCAUGGGAAUCUGCCCUUUGGUUCGGAAUAACAGUUGGAAACGACUGCUAAUACCGGAUGAUGACGAAAGUCCAAAGAUUUAUCGCCAGAGGAUGAGCCCGCGUAGGAUUAGCUAGUUGGUGUGGUAAAGGCGCACCAAGGCGACGAUCCUUAGCUGGUCUGAGAGGAUGAUCAGCCACACUGGGACUGAGACACGGCCCAGACUCCUACGGGAGGCAGCAGUGGGGAAUAUUGGACAAUGGGCGAAAGCCUGAUCCAGCAAUGCCGCGUGAGUGAUGAAGGCCUUAGGGUUGUAAAGCUCUUUUACCCGGGAUGAUAAUGACAGUACCGGGAGAAUAAGUACUUGCUAAUCUCGUGCCAGCCGCCGCCGUAA